rfam:Gossypium arboreum cultivar AKA8401 contig_6960_1, whole genome shotgun sequence.
UGUUGAAAAUUUCAUCUAUUUUUACUGUUAAAAACUUGCGUGGUUGAUGGAAUAAGUAGAGACGCCACAUGUACCUUAUUCUAAUGUACAAAGAUCAAAUUUUAAUAGUAGAAAUAGAUAAAAUUUUUAAUA